rnacentral:rRNA from 1 species
UACGUAGGGGGCAAGCGUUGUCCGGAAUCAUUGGGCGUAAAGAGCGUGUAGGCGGUUCGGUAAGUCGGCUGUGAAAGUCCAGGGCUCAACCUCUGGGAUGCCGGUCGAUACUGCCGGACUAGAGUUCGGAAGAGGCGAGUGGAAUUCCCCGGUGUAGCGGUGAAAUGCGCAGAUAUCGGGAGGAACACCUAUGGCGAAGGCAGCUCGCUGGGACGUUACUGACGCUGGAGACGCGAAAGCGUGGGGAGCAAACAGG